CCCAGUCGUACUUGUCAGCCAUUUGAUAGUAAGUAUCCGAGAAACCAAGUCAAAUUUGGUAGUCUGUCGAGCACAGAACUCGAAAUGAUUCAGUUUUUAUUCCAAAUCCAUAAACGAGCUGAGGGAAUAAAACUUCAAAACAUCAAAACAAUUUCUUACAACACAAGGUUACAGAAUCAGAGUAUUACAACAUCAUCUUAGAAGCUGGACCUUACAAGAUUGCUACUAUUGCUACAAUAGUUGGACCCUUUAUUAAUUAAUUUCUAACAAAAGUGUAACAAAGGGGACAAAGAAAAUAAAUAACUAUAUGACUUCAAACAAAUUAAAGAAGGGCGAUGGGCUCCAACUUUAGAUUGGCUCAUAUGCAACUCAGGGGUAGGCAUUGCCGUAUCCAGAUCCGGCACCUGAGCCACCGCCAGCCCCAGCAUUUUGAGUAUUUCCUGUGCCACCACCAUUGCCACUAGCACUUGCACCUGCAUCACUUGAUCCGGACCAAAACCUGUUAGCAUAGCUAGAGCCAGAACCAGUGCCACUACCAGAUCCUUGAGCAUUGGAAUUAUAUCCGGAUUGUCCUCCACCCCCACCCCCACCGGUACCACCAGCAUUAGUGGAUUCUCCAUAACCAGAAUACCCGCCUUGACUAUAUGUACUAGACCCUGAACCUGAUCCUGACCCUGAACCAUAUCCAACCCCGUAUUGGCUAGUUCCACCACCUGCACCACCCCCUCCAGCACUUGCAUGUGCACCAUAAGGACCGCUAUCACCAGAUCCGGUGCCAGACCCUGACCCUGAUCCCCCAGCAUUCCCAAGUGCACCACCAUCUCCCCCUCCUGUGCCAGUCCCAUAAGAACUAGAGUAUCUAGCCACCCUUGCAGCAUUGGCUAAUCCUAUGCUCAUCAGGACAAUGAGCCCCACUGAUAUUAGCUUUGUGCCUGCCAUUGUGAGCUACCACUAGAGAGUGUUUGAGUUGAGAUGGGUUCCUAGUGAGUGCUGCAUGGGUAUUUAUAGUGCUUGAUGGCGUGGUUCUUUACCUUCUUAUUAGCGUGCACGUUAAUGGUAGGGUGCAAUACGAGACCAAGUGGAUGCUUUUAAAAUCCCUGGAUCGCUAAUGCAUGGAGCUUGUUGACUUGACCAUUUACUACAUCCAAGUAGCAAAGUGGCAGUACUUGUUACGAAUUGUCUUAGCAGUAUACUUGUUACGCUCUCUCUAGCUAGAUGAUGUGCUAUAAGUCAUGUCCAUAUAGAUUAUGGAUGCCACAUAGUUUUAGCAUUCUCCUGUGUUUGUAUGGCCCAUUAUAUUGAAACGAAACUAAACUAGCCCCUUCCUCCCAUUUUAGUAGUUCAGUUUAUUUGUAUUCUUCGUCUCGAUGAUAUACCGUGAACGUGUCCAUCGAGUUAUUGCUGAUUUCGGAGGGCACUCUAAAGCGAAAGGUUUUAGUGCCAGGAAUUUAUUUAGAUGUCACGUCUCUCUCUCUCUCUCUCUCUCUCUCUCUCUCUCUCUCCCUGAUGUGUGUGCAUAUUUCGUUGUUUGACAAGGACCAUAUACAGAACUGAUGAAAAGAAUAGUACUAUAGCAACUUUCAAGUUCCAAGCUCUGUUACAUAUACUCCAUUUUCACUCUACUACCUGAAAACAAAAGGAAGAGUGGUCUUACUUUCACGAGGUUUUAUGGGCGCUCACUUAAUCAUCAUAUAAACUUUUUCUUAUUGGAUUUUGCUUUGGAUAAAUUGUUUUACCUGCGGAAAGCACUCAUAUGCAUGCUCAUGACUCUGCACUUUUUUGACCAUUCUCUCCAGCAAUGUGAAACAUGCACAGCUGGUGACACGACAAUCAAAAGGUAACACUAGAUCACCCAUAGUAAUUUAACCCUGGGUUUGUAUAUAUUUAGUGGUCAGGCUCUAGCACUAUGUAUAUUUCUUUGGUAAUUUAACCCAGGGUGUAUAAUUUAUACCUGCAUGCAUGAAGUCUUAUCAGAAUCAGCACGUUUGAAGAUCCACACAGGCAUCCAGCACCCGAAAAAUUCUGUUCCUCUUGAAGACAUUGCAGAUCGAGAGGUGACCUCGAGGUUUUCACAACGACUUUGUCAAAUUCAGGCAUGUACUUGAGACUACUCUUAUAUGGAGCUGGUGGACUCGAUAAGUGAGACAACUCACCAGGUUAAUUAAUUAGUACAAUGCAAGCUGUAUUAGUAGCGAAACGAUCCUUGAAGGCUAAUGUAACGAAACAUUGAAGCUAUCUCUUCCUUCCAAUGCAAGGACCGAACUGCUAAUUUUUGCAUACAACCUUGUCAAUUGCUUAAUUACAUUUUGAUGGCACUGAGCGACCUUUUUUUUGUUUGAAUCUUCAGCAAGCUUUAUUGAUUAAUCAAAAUGGAUAUAUAGUUUACAAGCAGCUGUAAAGUAGAUACAGGGGUAUCAUCUACCCAAAUCUGAGAGCUUAAUUACAUUGUGAUGGCACUGAGCGACUUAAUUGCAUCGGUCUAAUGGGUGCAAUCAGGUGAUUGCACCACACAAAGCAAUAAAACCAAUUUAGUAACAUACAAACCACCAGUGUGGUGCAAAAAAGACACGCACAACUAAGGAGGGUCUAUUUUUCCAAGGCAAUGUGGCUACGGCAGCUCCUGCAUCAAACACUACGUAGAAAUUGAUUUCUCGAGACGCCUGGUCUUUUUUAAGGGCGGCUGGUGUUGGAGCUGCCCCUUUAGUGACGUGCUCGGGCCCCAACUGGUUAGCUGCCUUUACAAAUGACACUAUAGGGGCCCUUAGAGCAACUCCAGCAAUAGCCCUAAAAACAGGGUCCCUACUUUUCAUUUGCGUGCUUCCUCUACUUUUGGAUGUCCAAAAUUUUUGCUUCCACUCCAACAGUACCACCUAAAUGAAGGCCCCCAAAGCUAAAUUGGUAGACAAUGACAUGUGGGACCCACUCGUCAUUGGGUCAAACAUUUCGCUAUCGCGUGGCCACGGGGAGGGGAGGCUCGACGCUCGUGAUGACCAUGGCUGGGGCUACUCCCGCUCAUCAAGGAGAGGCCACUCUCACCGGAAGGGAUGGCGGCGAGGCCCAACGGUGGAGGUCGAAGGUGGAGGGAGGGAGCGCGGUAGUGGAGAUCGGCGCUGGAGGGAGGUGGGCGAAGCUGCAUCUAUACGGUGUGAGGAGGUAAUAACCACACCACGAAGGAUGGGGGUUGGGCUGUUGGGCUAACAGAAAUGGGGUCUGCAGGAAAGAUUUAGGUGCCACCCCAAAUUGGGAGCUCUAGUAGGGGCCCUGCUGGAGUGCUGUUUUUAGCAUGGGCACCCAUAUUUAGCUAUGAGGGCUCAAGUAGGGGCCCUGCUGGAGUUGCUUUUAUAAAUGGGUCGAUUUGUAAGGGCAGCUCAGUCAUCAGCCGCCCCUACAAAUGCCCAGUGUAAAAACAAAGCAGCCACCUUCUUCCUCCUUGGGUCACUCACUCCAACUUGCAAAAAAAAGAUAGGAAGGCCUUGGCCUCCUCCUAAAAAUUGCUCUAGUAAGGGAGAGAUUUUGAUCUCAAAUCCUUUGGUGGAGGGAUUGUGAAAGGUAAAAAAAUAUUAUUCCAAGCCUUUAAUUGGAGUUCUUAUGGUUGGUUAGUGAGUAAAUUAAAAUGUUGCUUUCUCUCCCUUCUAUGGUGCUUUGAGCUUUGUAGGGAGCAAAUUAGGCCUCUAGUUUUGAAGCUAAUAGGGUAAAUUAGUUAGAGAAAUGACCUUACACCUUUUAUUAGUGCAUCUUGCUUUAUUUUAGUGGAGAUUACACCCUAGUUUCAUGUAUGUUUCAUGUACAUCUAGUUCUAGAUCUAAGGUUUGUUUUUAGUAACUAACCCAUGCUAUGAUUUAUAGAAUGCAAGCGCACAAUUGUGAAAAAAUCCCAAGCCUGAAAGUCAGGUAUGUAGACCCUCAAACCAUAGCACAAACAAAUUUUAAUUACCCCACACACUGGAAAUUGGAUUGCAAAGAGCUAACUCUAGAAAGACGGUUGCAGAGAAAGAGGCAAUCCGUAUGAGGAAAAUAAGGGAAGAGUGCCUUAAGGUUGUGGCAUACAUUGUUGUAUCUUUUAUGCGUCUGCAACAUAACAUUAUCAUAUGGGUACCUUACAACUUGAAAUAAGCUCGACUCUAUACUUACAGAUUUUUCAAUAUAUCUUUGUUUGAUACCAAAUAGCUUAUCCGUUUAGUUCUAUGGUUAAAUUUAUGCAGCAACCACUAGAUUGUUUUAGGCGUCGAUGUCAACAGGACCAUGGCAUGAGUCUGUGAUUGUGCAGAUUUUGACCUACACAUACAAAGACUUCAUAGUGAUUCUCAAGAUGUAUACAUAUCGUCAAUCCUCAUUGGCUUAUAUGUUUUUAUAUAUACUUUAACAUUCACUUUUGCAUACUAACAAGUUGCAUUUGCUAAAAUCAAUUAAACAAGGCAUUCAGGCACUAUGUCAAGGAACAUCACGGAAGGCAUUGUCCAAAAGCAUGAUUUGGGUAUCAAAACUCUAUGUUCGGUAAGUGUAGUUGUAACACCCUAAAAUUUGCUUCUUUGAAAAUAGAGUUAAAACAAUUUAUUUUUGUAUUUUUCUGCUCGUGAAAAUAUAGAAAAAUAAUAUUUUUCAUCAAACUAAAAUCUAAUAUAAGAGUCAGCAACAUGUCUGAGCAUGCAUGCCACUGCAUUUUAUUUAUUGUGAUGAGUGUAUUUGAACCAGAAAUUUAAAAAUGAUUCAAACUGAUUCGCAAAUUGGUUUGAAAUAAGGUUUUCAAAUAAAAAAAAGAGAAAGAAGAAAACCUUCUCCUUCUCAGUUUGGUCCGGAAGGCCUGGUUCUUUCCCCAUCCAGCGGCCCAACUCCCUUCCCCACACGUGCGUAGCAUUGGCCUGAGUGGCCCAGCUUCACCUCCCCUUCUCCUGGGGCAGAGCAUAGCUUCCUCCUUUGCUCUCGAGCGAGAGGCUAGUUUCCCCACAGCGCUAUCUGGUCGGGCUAGCCAACCGUGUCGAUGCGCCCCACCUCCAUUUUGUGCUAAUAGCCCAGCCUGCUUCCUGAGUCGCUGACACCCCAGACCCACCAGUCAGUUGAAUUCUCUCCAUCUUCCCCGUGUUUGUCGAACCAGACUUAGGCCCGCACCGAGGCACAUCGAGAUUUCCACGGGAUUUUCUCUGUGGGAAGAUCUCCCUUGCCCCUUUUAAGUGUUGAGAGCCCCCUCGGCGAUCUCCUUUUGCAUCUUCACAUGGCCGCGUAGCCCUAGCCGCCCUCCCAUCAUCGCUUGGAUCUCACGAAACCGACAGACCCAGCCUGCAGUCAAGCUCUCUACUCGCCGCUGUUCCAUUGAAAUCGAGCUUUGCCGAGCUUCGGAUUGAGGUUGCGAACCUCCCUGCACUUCCCAUCCUCUUUUUCUCCCUCUCUAUGUUACUGUUGAUCACCGAACUCAUGUAGGAAGCUCCCGUCCGCCAUCCAGCGUUGCCAGCCAUCUUCAAGCCCUCCCGGACUUUGCAAAGCUCCUAGGUGAGUAUGCACCGAGCUUCUCUCGCUCCCCAUGUUUACAGUUUGCUAAAUAGUGUCCUAAAUCACCAUUUUGGCAACACAGCGAGCCUUCGGCCAUGGCGCCGCGGGGUUCUCGGUCGGAGCCACCCUGAGUCACCACAGCCGUUCAUCUCAAGAUUGACGGCCAAAAAUAAAACAUACCCCUUCACUUGCGUUUUUGAUAAAGAGCCCUUGGAGUUUUUCGAAAUAUAACCCACAGUCCUUCGCACUUUUUGUCAAUACGCCUUUCCCUUUUGAAAACGUAUUUCACCCUAUUUGAAAUCAAAAUACAUUUUCUCUAUUUACAAAAUUGCCACUAAUUUUGUUUUAGUCAUAAAAUAUUCAUUUUAACUUUUAUUUGACCCAUUCAAAUUGUGUUAUAUUUAUCUUCACGAGAUCUACUUGUUAGUAAUCUUGGUUCACUAGUUUGAAACUUUUUAAUUUCGUGACUUUAAUUAAUUAAUUACUUUUCUCAAUGAAAUUUUAGAAAAUUCAUAUCUUCUUCGUUUUAGCUCUGAUUUCGUGAUAUUUACGUCUACAUGAUCGUAGUGAUGCGUAGAAUCAUUUUAUAAACUUUUCACAUUGUUUUGCUACUGUUGGUGUACUGUUCUAAUCACAAAUUUGUUUGUUUCGUAUAUGUUUGGCUCUAGUUUGCUUGUGCGUUGCUAUUCGAUGAUCGAGUGUAGGGUCAGCAAUUCGUUGGUGAUCAAGAGUGCUACUAUGAUCAAGAUGAGUACCUUGACGACUAGAAGAAUCAGCAGGAGCAACAAGAAAGCUUUGAUCAAGGCAAGUAUAGCAUUGGGUUUUCUUUCUGUGACCAUGAUCUUGUGACUUGAUUAAUGUUUAAGCAACAAACGAUAAAUGUGACUUUUUAGCAACUUGAGGAUUUAUCUGUACUUGAUCACCCAGGAUUGACAGUGCAACCAUGAGGGAUAUAUGGCUAUGGCGUUAGUCAAGUAUGAGUAUCUUUUCUAGCAUGUUAGAGGUUACCAUGUGGCGCAAAAGGGGGAUAGCAGACCGCGGAUCUCAGUGAGUGGUUGAAUCACACGGACUGACUAAUGAAACCUAGCGGCCCUAACUUGCUAGACGAACCUUUGAAAGACUUUAUAGUGAACCCUGCCAACCUCCUUAGGAAAGGGGUUAAGAGAUUAGCUACCUCAAGUGAAAGGGUAAAUCAUGACUCCUAGGUAAAGAUGUACGACCUCUGCAGAGUGUUUAAAAAACUGGUAUACUAGCCGUGCUCAGAGACACGAGCGGCCUUCGUGACAUUUACAUGAAGGAUGAUGAUUCUUGUUAUGUUAACAUGCUCAUUAUUUAUUGUUUUGAUGCUCUACAUUAUUUAUGUCACAUUGAUCAUGAGUUUGUGUGAUCUAUAUUACCUUGUUGAUAUAUUUGUGAAGUUUGACAUGCACUCACUAUUGCUAUUUCUCUCACACCUCAGGAGAGUUUUAGGUUUGUGAUCAACCAGUCAGUUUAGAUCCAGUAGAGUGAAGUUAAUACGUCAAGUUUGGAGUUAUCUUCCGUUGUUUGUUGCCUAAGGUUAUCUCUGAUAUACUAAGUAUGUUAUAUAUUUAUGCAUUACCUUUUGAUAUUACCCCUCAUUUGUAGCUAUAUGUGAGAUUUGACUUCUAAGACUCACAUAUGGUGCAUAUCUGUGUCCUUAAAAUUAGGUAUUACAGUAACUUACUUUGGCACUAUAUUAUGUGGCUGUCAAUAGCAUUACUUAAUAUUUUUAUAUGCGAAACACACGCAGUUCCCCAAGUAGAGGCCUAGGAGUAAACAUUGCGGAUAUUACAUAUGUGCUUCAAUGAGUAACACCAGAACCUAUAGGAGACACUCGAAUUUGGUAAGUUUGAAUCUCUUUGCUCGUAGUAUAAAAACUUAGCUUAUGUUAUGAAAGCUUAGACCUAAACUUGUUAUCUUGUAGUGGAUGGAAGAGAAAAAUCAGAAAAGGGACAUGUACAAGGAUGAUCAAAUCACAGAGCUCAUCGUCGACCUUUGUGGCUUCAUAUUGGACGAGAUUCCGAGACUCCGACUUAGGUAGCAAUCCUAGAUAUCAACACCUUCGUGAGCUUGAAAGGCUAUCUCUAGGCCAUUGAUAAUAAUUUGAUGGACUUGUGGACUUGGACUUGUAUAAUUUGGCUUGUGAUUUGGACAUUGGACAUGAUUUGUGGAUGCAUAUUUGAUACAUAUAUAUGCUUCUGUGGAUGCAUACCGGAUACAUAUAUGUGGACUUGUCGAUGUAUAUAUAUAUAUGUGUGCUGUUGUGAUCAGAUUUUAUAUACAUAUAAUUAUUUUUUUCUGGAAACUCACUGUAGGGGCGGCUGGUACUAGAACCGCCCCUACAAAUAGCAUUUGUAAGGGAAGCCAGUGUUAAAUCCGUCCCUACAAAUAGCAUUCACAAGGGCAGCUGAUGUUUCGAGCCGCCUUUACAAAUACAUUUGUAGGGCCAUUUGUAAGGGUGGUCAAAUCCAUGAUUUAUAAGAGCGCUUGGACAAGGGCGGGUGGCCCAGUCAUCCUUACAAAGGGUUUUGACCUGCCCUUAAAGAUCCUGGUUGUAGUAGUGAAAGAUAUAUAAGCACCACCUGCAUGAAGACAUUAGCAAGUUUAUUCUGCACAGAAAUGUGAAAAGCAAAUUUUCUAUAUCUUGCUCCUGACGAGGCUCUACUAGCAAUGUGUCUUGCAUAUCGCGCUCAUCAUUGGGGGCAUGAGAAGCGUUCAUGUCCAAACAUGUUGCUCAGUGAUAGCUGACUUAAACAUGUAAGGCAUUUGUGAAAAAAAUAUAUAGCAGAUCAAUCAAAUUAAAGGAAGAGGUAGUUUUAAUGUUUCCUUACAUUUUCUUUAUGCGAGUAUGUUUUCUGACAUUUUCUUUUUUAAGUAUUAUUGUAACAUUAGCAGAUUAGCUAGUAUGGCUGUGCAAGAAUUGUGUUCACAAUGUUAUCUGACCCAUAUCAGACUACCUCAGCCCGACUUUCGUUCGCUCUUAUCAAACUACUGCAUGUGGACGCUGAGGGUUCAAGCUAUCAAGGAUUGUUUGGCUACUUAUACAGCUGGCAAUGUACUGAUUAAGUAAUUAACCUUGUGAGAGCAGUAGUUCUUAAGUCCAUGACUGAAUUUGUCAAAGUCGUUGUGAAAACCCCGAGGUCACCUCUGCAAUGUCAACCGCUGCACGAGGAAUAGAAUCGUUCGGGUGAUCAGAGGAUGCCUGUGUGGACCUUCAAACGUGCUGUCCGUCGAGACUUCAUGCAUGCAGGUCGUCGUUUACUAGUUUUAAUGUUAGUAUAAUGCUAGAGCCCGAUCACAAAAGAAAUAUAAAACUUUGGGUUACAUUAUUAUAUGGGUGAUCCUGUGAUCUUUUGAUUUUCGUGUCACCGGCUAGCUGUGCAUGCUUCAUGCUGGAGAGAAUGGCCAAAUGCAGAGUCAUGAGCAUGCAUGAGAGUAUAUUGUAGUAUGCAUGCAUUAGAGCUUGGAAGUUGCUAGUACUAUUCUUUUCUGUAUGGGAUUUUUGUCCAGCAACACAAUAUAUACCGAGACAAAGCAUACAAAUAAUUUUUAUUGAACUACACCCAGAUUUCAGCUAUAUAUGAGACAAAGCAGUACUGCACGUCACUGAAAUAUUUCACACAUUUACUAUAAAUGCUGGUCAAAAAUCGGCAAUGACUCGAUGCAUAACUUCUCUGUAUACCGAGAUGAAGAAUACAUACAAGUGAACUACUUAAACCAGAGCAACAAGCUGGUUUAGUUUCAAUAGGCCUUCCAAACACCGAUGAAUGCUAAAACUUUGUGCCAUCCAUUAUCUUAUCUAUGGACAUGAGACUUAGCUGACCAUCUAGAGAGAGCGUGACAAGUGUCAUCCAUCAGCUUGCCACUUCACGUAAUUUAUGGUCAAGUCAAGAAGCUCCAUUAAUUCCAUUGGAUUUUAAAAGCCUCCACUUGGUCUCCUAUUGAAACACCACUACCAUACGUGCAUGCUAUAUAUGGAGGUAAAGAACCACUGCAUGCAUGGCCUCAAGCACUAUAAAUACCCAUGCAGCAUUCACUGGAAAGUCAUCUCAACUCAAGCAGUCCAUAGUGUUAGCUCACAAUGGCAGGCACAAAGCUCGUAUCACUGGGGCUCAUUGUCCUCAUGAGCAUAGGAUUAGCCAAUGCUGUUAGGGUGGCUAGAUACUCUAGUGCUGAUGGGACUGGCACAGGCCAGGGAGGGGGUGGUGGAUAUGUGAAUGGUGGGGGAUCAGGGUCUGGGUCUGGCACCGGAUCAGGUGAUAGUGGCCCUUAUGGUUCCCAUGCAAGUGCUGGAGGGGGCGGUGGAGGUGGUGGAACUAGCCAAUACGGUGGGUCUGGAUAUGGUUCAGGGUCAGGGUCAGGUUCAGGGUCUAGUACAUAUAGUCAAGGACGGUAUUCUGGCUAUGGAGAGUCUUCUAAUGCUGGUGGUGCCGGUGGGGGUGGGGGUGGAGGACAAGCUGGAGGUGCCUGGAAUUCUAAUGCUCAAGGAUCCGGUAGUGGCACCGGUUCUGGCUCUAGCUAUGCUAACAGGUAUUGGUAUGGAUCAAAUCAAGCAGGUGCACGUGCUAAUGGCAAUGGUGGUGGCACAGGAAAUAGUCAAAAUGGUGGCGGUGGCGGCGGUUCUGGUGCCGGAACUGGAUAUGGCAAUGCCUACCCAUAAACUCCUUAUAAUAAGCCAAUCUGAAGUUGGACCAUCGUAGUAUUUCCUUGCUUGAAGUCGUAGAGUUAUUUGUUUUCUUUGUCCCUUUGUUACACUUUUGUUAGCAGUGAAUUAAUAAAGGGUCCAACUGCUCUAGCAACAGUAGCAGUCUUGUAAGGUCCUUAUAUGAAGAUGUUGUAACCAUGUCUGUUUGUGAAAGGAAAAAAUAACUUAUGCAUCAUGUGGCCACUGCAUCUAAAAAAAUUCUUAUGUUCCCUUUGGAGUGAUUAAGUUGAGAUGCCUACACCAUGCAUAUUCACAUCGUUAUUAAAUUAUACACCAUUGAAUUUCCUGGAGUUGUUUAUAUCACUUAAUUAUGAUGAUAACUCCAACUGGGUCAAUCCAGUCUAGAACAUAAUUAGCAAGAACUGCUGGCACAAGCCCAUUUAUGUCAAUCAGCCUAGAACAUAAUUAGCAAGAACCACAUGAUUAUAUAAGGGGUCCCAUUAUAUAAAUACCCUAAGUACAUAUUUAGGUGAAGGCUUUACGUUAAUCAUUUGUGUAGCCAAAAAGGAUCAAACAACAUAGCCUAGUUUGGUGGCCAAUGUUUUCUGCAUUCGUGCAUUGUGCUUCACUCUCGUGAAUGGCUAAUCAACAAGAUGGAUACUUGAUGUCCAGUUCUAUUCAAUUAUUCGUCUUCCAUCACAGAUCAGUCCAUAUCAUCAUACUUUUAAAUGACACAUUACAGUUCACAUUAAUAUUGAUUUCUAAUGCAUAAUUUAGAUCUCAUUUAGAGUGUUGCUUAAGACUUAACGCUCUAUAACAGAUUUCAUUUGGGGAGGGCAACAGAGUAUAUGAGGCGGCUCUAUUGCGUCCCAUGCGUGGUUGCUCACCGGCUCGACAUUCUGGUUCCUCAAUUGUAGGCCUUGUAGGAGGAUCACGGAAAACAGAAUGGAAGAGAGGCCAUAUAUGCUAUCUUUAGGUCAUUGUACUCAUCUUGUUGUUCACAUAUGCAUCAUGGAUGGAUGUACUGUUUGGGUCUCCUCUAUUUUCCGAAGAGCAGGAGUCGUCACUUAGAUUUCUUUUAUUACCUUUGUCCAUAUGGCGCAACGCAUAAUCUCCUGGAGAAGAGGCUUUGCCUUGGGGCCCUUCGUGGCGAAGUUCCUGUUUGACUCAUCAGUUGACAUGAGCUUGUUUCUUCACUAUUCACCCACUCUUGAAUUUUCAUCAUGUUCUUGCAUAUGUACCUAAGAAAUGGUGAAGGUGAAAGAUAGGUUUCAUUCUCUUAGGCCACAAUGUUCAUCUGAAGAUCACGAGCAAUAUUUCAUUGAUAGCUUCAUUAGGUGUCAUCUUGUCAAUAUAAUUCUCUUAGAGAAUGGAGUUGACCAAGUUGUAGUCAAGUUUAUUUGAAAAUGAUUUGAUGAUUUUCCUCACAUCCUCAUGUUGCUCUAGUUGCUUCAAACUAGACCAUUAAUCUCAAUGAUAAGAAUAUUCAAACAUGAGAACAUGUACUACUGUAAUUUUUCUGUUGCAGUCUGUAGUAGCAUAUAGCCAAAACAAGUUAUAGAUAUUAUCAGAAUUCAAGAAAUCGCUAUGCCAAAAUUGCCCCAUUAUUAAUAUUAAGUUGCUCAAUUCAUCUACAUAUUAUAUAAAAUAUGCCCAAGUAGAAUAAGUAACAAUAUUUUGAUCAAGCUUCUCAAAAAUAAAAUUUAGGACAAUCCUAAUAGAUAGCAUGAAGAUCUGUCUGAAGCUCCACUUGAGCUAUUAUAUGGACGAGAAGCUUUGUUGCCCGUUGAAGUAAAUCUAGAUGCAUAUAGAUUUGGCUAAGCAAAAUGAUCUAUUGUUGUUAUAUAUCAUGCUUUAAGGAUGGACAAUGUCGACAAGGUAAAGAACAAAAGCCUAAAGGCUCUAAAGUAUAUUGAGAGAGACAAAGCUAGUGUUGCCUAGGCUUACAACAAGAAAGUGAAAAGUAAAUAUUGUGUAUCAUGCACCCGAUAAGGCUCCACCAGCAAUGUGUCAUGCAUAUCGUGCUCAUUGUUGGGGGACCACGUUAGGCAUUCAUGUGCAAACAUGUUAUUCAGUGAUGGCUGACCUAAAAGUUGGGUAGGCUGAUUUUGGCCUGCAUCAAUUGAGCAUUCUAGCUCUUUGCUAGUGUUAUGACCUAAUGAAAGGUCCUAAUAUGGCUAGAGGGGGGUGAAUAGCCUAUUUAAAAAAUCUACAAACUCACUAGAGCAAGAGGUUAGUAAAUAACAAAGUGAAGCUUUUUGCUCUAGCUCUAAAAGGGGUUAUUGCAAGCCACCUAUCCAACAAUUCUAGUUGAUAUGAUCACUAGGCACACAAGAGCUUUGUCUCUAGUUACACUAGAGAGCUACCUAAAGUUUCUAAACAAGUAUGUAAGCUACUCUAGUUUGCAAGAAAGUAAGAGAGAUGGUUUGAUCUUUAUACCACCGCGUAGAGGGGAUGAACCAAUCAAUAAUAUGAAGUCCAAUCACCGGGAGAAAUUCAAAGUACAAUCACAAAGGACACACACAAUUUUCUCCCGAGGUUCACGUGCUUGCCGGCACGCUACGUCCCCGUUGUGUCGACCAAUACUUGGUGAUUCGGUGGCUAAGAGGUGUAGCACAAACCUCGUCCUCACUAUGACACCACAAGAACCGACCCACAAGUGAGGUAAUUCAAUGACACGAGCAAUCCACUAGAGUUACCUUUCGGCUCUCCGUCGGGGAAGGUAUAAGACCCCUCACAAUCACCGGGAGAUGGCCACAAACAAUCACCAACUCGUGCCAAAGCUCCUCCGCUGCUCCAAGCCAUCUAGGUGGCGGAAACCACCAAGAGUAACAAGAAAACCGCAGCCAAAACGAUCCCCAAGUGCCACUAGAUGCAAUCACUCAAGCAAAUGCACUUGGAAUCACUCUCAAUCUCACAAAGAUGAAUAAUCUAUGAAGGAGAUGAGUGGGAGGUGUUUGCUUAGGCUCACAAGGAUGUCAAGUAUGUUAGAAUGCCAAGAGGGUGAGCCCUAAGCCGGCCAACAACUAUUUAUAGGCCCCUCAAACAAAUAGAGCCAUUGGCUCUUUCACUGGGCGAAACACGGGGUCACCGGACGCUACUCAGGAGGCACCGGACGCUCAACCCCUGCGUCCGGUGCUCCAGAAACGGCCACGUGUCGCCUUUUGAAACUCAGCGUCGAAGUCUAAUGGUAACCUGUAAAGCACCGGACGCGUCCGGUGCACACCGGUCUUAAACGCAGGGAGGUUCGCAAAAUGUGUAGGGCACCGAACGCUGAGCACCGGACCGUCCGGUGCUCACCUGACUUAAACCCAGGGAGGAAAACAAACAGACCUCACACCUUGACGAUUGAUUCAAACUCUGCCAGUAGUUCUAUGAUCUAAAAACCUUGACGAUUGAAGAUCUAGUUAGGCGGCUUCGGGCUGCUGAAGACAGACUUGAACCAUCGACCGAGCAAGUUACUGAAAAGAUGAAGUCUUCACUUCUUCUUACUGAGGAGGAGUGGGCAACGAGGAACAGAAGCCGGAUGGUGGGUUCAGAGUCAUCCUCCCAAGGUAGCAAGGGAGGUAGCUAUUACGUCAAGAAGAACAAGCCACGUGCUCGACCUGGUGGAGGGAAGAAUGAUCGUGAUAAGCGAGAUAAUGGCUGUCAUCCAUCUUCUGGAACACCUCGCCGCAAUGGCAGAUGCAGAAAGUGCGGUGUGAUUGGACAUUGGGCAAAGGAGUGCUUGAACAAGAAGGCAAAUAAGGAUGAGCAAGAUGCUGCAGCUCAUCACGUUGCCGGUGAUGUGGAUAAAGCACCAGCCCUGUUGGUUGCACAAGUGAGCAAUGUGACGUCUGUGAGGACAGGGUGACAAGAUUUGUUCCUGAAUCAGGAACGGGUGUUUCCAGCAAAGUACAAUGCAGGUGCAUGGGUACUUGACACAGGCGCCACAAAUCAUAUGACGGGUUGUCGAGACUCUUUGGCAGAUCUGGAUGAAACAAUACAGGGCGCUGUACGGUUUGGUGAUGGAUCGACUGUGAAAAUUCAAGGUGUUGGCGUAGUCACUAUUGCAGGCAAGAACCAGGAGCACCGAGUUCUGACAGAAGUCUAUUUUAUCCCCACUCUCAGAUGCAAUAUUGUCAGUCUGGGUCAACUUGAGGAGGCAGGAUGCCGAGUUGAGAUUGACAAAGGGGUACUGGAGGUGUUCUAGAGAGAGCAACCAGGAGAACCUCGUGGUGUGGUCAUCAGGGCAGAACGACGGAAUCGUCUCUAUGUCAUGAAGGUGAACCUGACUACACCUGUAUGUUUGUUAUCUAAGAUUGAGGAGGAGGCCUGGCGCUGGCAUGCUCGGUUCAGGCACCUGAAUUUCAGGGCAUUGCGUGAUCUUGGUGUCAAAAAUAUGGUUAAUGGUUUACCUCUAAUCAGAAAGGUUGAACAAGUUUGUGAUGGCUGUGCGCUUGGCAAGCAUCAUAGAAGACCUUUCCCUCAGGCUUCAUCUUGGCGUGCAUCAACUGGGCUUGAGUUGGUGCACACAGAUUUGUGUGGGCAAAUUACACCGCCCACACCAGGGGGUAAAUCUUAUUUUAUGCUCAUCGUAGAUGACUAUAGUCGUUUCAUGUGGAUUGAGCUGCUGACGUUGAAGGCAGAAGCAUUGUCUUGUUUCAAGAAGUUCAGGACUGCAUCUGAGUUAGAAUCUGGCUAGAGACUGAAAGCUUUGAGGAGCGAUUGUGGGGGCGAGUUCAACAGUAGAGCCUUUGUGGUGUUUUGUGAAGAUCAUGGGAUCAGGCACAAUACCACCGCCCCGUAUACUCCACAACAAAAUGGGGUUGUGGAGCGAAGAAACCAAACAGUGGUCGAGAUGGCGCGGUGUUUGCUGAAAAGUAUGAAUGUGCCACCUUGGUUUUGGGGAGAAGCUGUCAUAACAUAUGUAUACAUCUUGAAUAGAUCCCCAACUAAAAGCCUACAAGGACAGACACCAUAUUAGGCUUGGUAUGGAAAGAAGCCAGGGUUCAAGCACUUAAGGACUUUUGGAUGUACUGCUUAUGCCAAAAUAGUUGGUCCAGGGUCCAGCAAGCUGACUGACAGGUCUGUUCGGGUUGUCUUUCUGGGAUAUGAGCCGGGCUCGAAAGCCUAUCGAGUCUAUGAUCGAGUGAAGGACAAGUUGCUGGUGACACGUGAUGUGGUUUUCGAUGAAUAACGACCAUGGGAUUGGGGAGGAAGUCAAAGCGAGGCGACAGGUGCAGGCGCUGAAGCUGAUACGCCGGAUAUGUUUCAGGUGGAUUGGGCGAUACUGUCGGAAAUCCGACAAUAGGCACUGAAGACGACACUGGUGAUUUUUCAGAUGCCGAUCUUCCUGAUCCCGAUGAUGCUGUACCGGGGUCACCUGCUCUGUCAAUCCCACAGUCUGGGGUGUCUUAAACACCCCGCCUCACACUCCACCAACAAUACAGUGGGCCACACCGCCUACUGGGCAAUCUGCAGAUUCUGAAGGCGUUCCACUCCGCUAUAGGACGAUUCCUGAUUUACUGGAAGCUACUGAUCCGGUUGAGAAUUAUGACUAUAGUGGAGUAUGUUGAGUAUGUUUUCUUGCAGCUGAGGAACCAAGGUCACUUGAGGAAGCAUUGACUGAGCAAUGCUGGAGAAAAGCCAUGGAGCCAGAAAUGCAGGCAAUUGAAUCAAACCGUACUUGGGAUAUUAGUGAUCUACCUCCCAAACACAACGCUAUCGGUUUGAAGUGGGUCUUCAAAGUAAAGAAGGACCCUGAUGGCGGGAUAGUGAAGCACAAAGCUCGUCUAGUGGCAAAAGGAUAUGCUCAGCGGUUUGGAGUCGAUUAUGAUGAGGUUUAUGCUCCCGUAGCCAGGAUGGAGACUGUACAAGUGUUGUUGGCUCUAGCAGCUAAGGGUGGUUGGAAAGUUCACCAUAUGGACGUAAAUCUGCAUUUUUAAAUGGUGAUCUUACUGAAACCGUAUAUGUGCAGCAACCUCUAGGUUUCAUAGUUGGUGAUGGAAGCAAAGCUUUGAAGCUCAGGAAGGCUCUUUACGGGCUGAAGCAGGCGCCAAGGGCAUGGAAUGCCAAGUUAGACAGGGAGCUAUUGGCUCCGGGUUUUGUCAGAAGUAAACUGGAUCAUGUAGUUUACAGAAGAAGCAAUGCAAACUCUUUCUUGAUUGUGGGAGUUUAUGUUGACGAUUUGAUAAUCUCUGGACCCGGUGCAGAUGAUAUCAAAGUAUUUAAGUCAGAGAUGAAGAAGAAAUUUAAUAUGAGUGAUUUGGGGUUGUUAUGUUACUACUUGGGAAUCGAAGUUAAGCAAGAUUCAAGUGGCAUUACACUGUGUCAGAGCUCAUAUGCUGCAAAGAUCAUUGAUAUGGCAGGCAUGAGCGACCGUAAUUCGUGUGACACCCCGAUGGAAUGUCGACUGAAACUCAGUAAGAAGAUAGAAGGGGAUCCUUUGAAUCCUACUAAGUACAGAAGCAUUAUAGGGAGCUUGAGGUACAUCAUCAACACCAGGCCAGAUUUAGCUUUUGUCGUAGGUGUUGUGAGUAGGUACAUGGAAGCACCUGGAAGAGAACACUAGAUUGCUGUAAAACGUAUCCUGAGGUACUUAAAAGGCACUAUGGGGUACGGCUGCAAGUAUGAGAAGGGAGCUGAGCUAAAACCUAUGCUACUAGGUUAUAGCGACAACGAUUUUGCAGGAGAUUCAGAGGACAGGAAGAGCACUACUGGAGUUGGGUAUUUUCUGAAUGGCAGCUUGGUAACAUGGGCAUCUCAGAAACAGAAAAUUGUUGCUCUAUCAUCCUGUGAAGCAGAGUACGUGGCAGCGGCAGCAGCAACGUGUCAAGGAAUUUGGUUAAGCCGACUGAUUGCAGACUUUCAGGGAACAAAAGAGACGACUGUUAAGUUACUCAUGGACAAUAUGUCCGCAAUUGCUCUCAGCAAAAAUCCAGUACAUCACGAUCGAAGUAAACACAUUGAUACAAAGUUUCAUUUUCUUCGUGAGUGUGUGGAGGAAGGCAAGCUGGAGGUGGAGCAUGUCGGAACUGGAGAACAAGUUGCUGACAUUUUCACUAAGGCGCUGGGACGAGUGAAGUUCAUAGAACUGAGGAGUGCGUUGGGUUUCGUCGAUGUGCAUCUAGUUUAGGGGGUGUUUUGUUAGCUAAAUAGAUGCAAGUUGUCAUGAGUCUGUAAUAGUUAAGGUAGGGGUAGAGAUUGAUCGUAGGCGUGCUCGGUCAAGACUCAACCCGAAGAGUUGGUCUGGUUCACGCCACGGCUUCGCAGAGCGCACGUAACGCAUCAUCGCGGUGCAACGGUGUUGCGGACUCUGGGAGGCGUGGCGUGGGGGGUUUGUAAAGUAUCAAACCUGUAAAACUUCUAUAAAUACAAGGAACAAAGGACCGAUCUGGCUGCGGUUGCUUGCAGCAUUAUUUUUCUCGAGUUCUUAGUGUUUUAGGGUUUAUCUCGCCGCGGUCACCAUCAUCCUGGGUGGCGCGUUCGUGCGCUGGAGUGUGGAAGCGCUCUAACAGUGCACGGCUCAGGUGGCGCUGGCGCCUUAGAGCAAGUAAUAGGUCCAGUCAGCAGGCUGAAAGGUUCUCCACGUCAGUAAAGUCUGAGCUAGAGGAAAGAAAAAAGAUGAAAGAGAAGGAAGCAGGCUGCUGGUGAAGCACCAGGCUGAACACAGGAACCGAGGAAGAAAUCACCGGCUUACAGCCCACAGCGAGUGCAACAGUCGGCGUUUUACGUGGCCUUAUUGCUUCUCCUGAUCCUUUGCGCCAACUAUUCUGCACGCCUCUUCAUAUCACUGUUGUUUCAUUGAUGGCCACAAAGAUAUUACUCACAGCUGAUGGAAUCAAACAUGCAGACAUUAAAUACUUACAACUUUGUUACAGUCAGCCUCUUAGAGCAAGGCUAAUAAUACAGCCAGCUGCUGGCUGUAAGGUUUUUUUAUAGCCUUCUUGCAGUACACUCAUAUAAUGGUUAGCUCAUCACUAUUAAUAUAUGGCCCACUUGUAUCUGUCACAAAUUUUUUUGGUUCUUGUGUCUGAGCCGGCUGUAAGCUUACAACCCGCUUUUACUCUUUCUGUUCUUCUUUCUCCUCUACCUCAGCAUUUAGCCGGCUUACAGCCCACUAUAAUACUUGCUCUUAGCCAACCAUUAUAUAUGCGGGCUGUUUUUGUUGGCAGUAAAUGAGAUGGCAACUGUAUUCAGUCAGCAGCCGGCUAAAUUACUAGCCAUGCUCUUAGCCGCGCCACACCAACUCUACUUGCAGCGGCAGGGCUUGGCCGCGUGCUCCAAGCAGCAGCAAAAGGGUGGGGAAUCAGCCGGCACAGUGGCCUACUGCGGCUGCGGCACUGAGUGAGCCACCCAUGUCGCCCCACAGAGGAGCAAUUCGGGGGCGUCACUUCCAAUCAACUCAACAAUUCCUGUUCACUAACUCAAGUUUUACUUCCCAAAAAAUAAGAGAAUAAAACAUGUUCUAUGAGCCAAAAUGGAUGAGAAGCAGCGACGGCUCACCUGGAUCAGGCAUAGCAGGGCUUGCUUUCGCACGUGUGAUCGAUCGGUUCGAUCAGCCCACGAAACAUUGGGAUACUACUGUCACUUGAUCCAAAACGACUCUACCCUGAACCUCGACUUGGGCAUGCAGAUUUUCGUGAAGAUGCCCAAUGGCAAGAUCAUUACAGUUGAGGUGGAGCCGUCCGAUACAGUCGGCGAUGUCGAGGCAAAGAUAGAGGACCAGCAGAGGAUCAUCUUUGACGGCAGCCGACUUGAUAAGAAGUGCAAACCUGGCUUUUACAAGGUUCAGCAACAUUCGACCCCGCAACUUGACCUCUGUGACUCUGUCCUCAGCGUGGCAGCAUGCCGAUUGACGUCAAGACACUCCCUAUAAGCAAGGCCAUCAGGUACAAGGUGCAGUUUACUGACAAGGUUGGCGAUUUGAAGGCAAAGAUUCAGGACCAACAGAGGCUCCUCUUUAAAGGACAGCAGCUUGUGGAUGGACAGACGCUCGCCGAUUACAACGUUCGGAGACAAUCCACCCUGCGCCUUGACUGUCCCGUCAUGCAGAUCUUUGUGAAGACGUGCACUGGGCAGACGAUCACUCUAGAGGUGGAGCCGUCUAACACGAUUGAUGAUGUCAAGGAAAAGAUCCGUGGUCACCAGAGUCUCACCUUUGAUGGCAACAAGCUUGACGAUGCGAAGACACUUGCUGAGUGCAAUGUACGUACGGGGUCUAACCUGCACCUUGAUGCUUAGCUACAAAAAUUUGGUGUCUUCUGAUGCUCUACUACUUAAUUUAUUUAUCCUCUUCUGGACACUAGUUGUCCUUGUCUGUGUCUACUGGUUGAAAUAACCAUGUGCAACCAUGUGCCUUUCAAGUGAGACUAUCUUUCUCUUUGUUUUUUUUGUAAUAGUGAGAACAUGCGUUUGUGAUAUAUGCUCUCCAUAUUUCUCAGAACCGUCCAUUCUUAAAUUCCGUGAUGCAUAAAUUUUCUGUCUUUUCAUCUAUACAUUUGUCACGCAGGCACCUCAUAUGUGUCUGAUUUUCUGACGACUGGUGAUAUUCAGAAUAGGUGCACUUGGAAUACUUCAGUUAAGCUGCUGUACCUGAAUACCUGCUUCUUUUUUCAAUUCAUUUGUUGAUUAUUCAUGGGCUUUUCCUUCAUUAAUUGCGCUGCAACUUCGUUUCUGUACUUCAAGUAUUCAAUCGCCCCUCUCUAAUCUCAAGUUCAAUCUUUAGAAAAAUCACAAUUAGAGGGUCAGUACCUGGAUCGAACUCUCAGCUUUGGGACAUUUUCCAACAUGUUGGAUAACCUUGGGGGGGGGGGGGAGAGAGAGAGAGAGAGAGAGAGAGAGAGAGAGAGAGAGAGAGGCAGGGAGGGAGGGAGAUAUCGUGAGUCCAAGCUAUGGUUCCUGCAUCCCAAGAAUUCAAUAACUCUUCAAAUAACCUACCAACAUAUUUACAGAGCCAUCAUCUUUUUCUCCCUAUGUGGGAAUAAUUACGACCAAGGAUUUCCUAUUCUUUCUGAACUCAUUUUUUCUUCCCUAGAAUUGUGCAUUGGAUCAAUUAGUCAACUAGAACAACAAACGUGCUUCAUCUUUUGUAGAAUCUGGGAUUGCUAUUCUGUUUGAAAGAGGAUGGAAGAUUUGACAUACAAGUGUGCUUCAAGCGGUGCAAGAAAAGGAAGAAAAAGAAAUCAAAUUGAAUAACCUCUCUCGACAUAUCAGCUUUCUAGCAUGAUAUUUUAGAGUUACUCCCUCCACCAUUCCGUAAGUCAUUUUGGCUUUUCUAUAUAUAUACAUAUAGCUAUGUAUCUAGACACAAUAUAUAUCUACUAUAGCAGAACUGCUAAAUUUAACAUAAUCCCAGUUGUACUUGUCAGCCAUUUGAUAGUAAGUAUCCGAGAAACCAAGUCAAAUUUAGUAGUCUGUCGAGCACAGAACUCGAAAUGAUUCAGUUUUUAUUCCAAAUCCAUAAACGAGCUGAGGGAAUAAAACAUCAAAACCAUUUCUUACAACACAAGGUUACAGAAUCAGAGUAUUACAACAUCAUCUUAUAAGCUGGACCUUACAAGAUUGCUACUGUGUUGC
rnacentral:lncRNA from 1 species